UUCAUUUUCUGAAUAUGACAUGAAUUUAGAAAUAUUACUAUCAUUAGAAAUUGCCAUGACUAAUAUAAAAAAUAUAUCUAAAAAUUAAAAAGAAAAGUAGCAGAUUGUUGAGAACUUUAGCAAUUGAAUAGAAAAAAUAAUAGAAGAGAGAAUUGGAGUGGAUAUGGUAGAAAAUGGUGAAUUGAUGUGGUGAGAAUGGAAGAGGAGGGGACUAUGUAUAGGGAUUAGGGGACUACUUAAACGGAUCAGAUUGGCAAGUGGGUCGGGCCAUGCCUGGC
rnacentral:lncRNA from 1 species